rnacentral:rRNA from 1 species
AUGCACGCUGGCGGCGUGCCUAAUCCAUGCAAGUCGCGCGAACAGACGAGGAGCUUGCUCCUCUGACGUUAGCGGCGGACGGGUGAGUAACCCGUGGAUAACCUACCUAUAAGACUGGGAUAACUUCGGGAAACCGGAGCUAAUACCGGAUAAUAUAUUGAACCGCAUGGUUCAAUAGUGAAAGACGGUUUUGCUGUCACUUAUAGAUGGAUCCGCGCCGCAUUAGCUAGUUGGUAAGGUAACGGCUUACCAAGGCGACGAUGCGUAGCCGACCUGAGAGGGUGAUCGGCCACACUGGAACUGAGACACGGUCCAGACUCCUACGGGAGGCAGCAGUAGGGAAUCUUCCGCAAUGGGCGAAAGCCUGACGGAGCAACGCCGCGUGAGUGAUGAAGGUCUUCGGAUCGUAAAACUCUGUUAUUAGGGAAGAACAAAUGUGUAAGUAACUAUGCACGUCUUGACGGUACCUAAUCAGAAAGCCACGGCUAACUACGUG